rnacentral:lncRNA from 1 species
UCGGCAAGAAGAUAAGGUGGAAUAAUUUGAGUGGAUGAUGGGGCCCAAUGAGCACCCACACUCCAAUUAUAACCCCAAAUCUUUGCCUAUAAAUAAGGCCUUGUACUUUCUAAAAACAUAAGCAAUUUUCCAAUCUUGUAUAAGAAAAACUUUCUUUCAAAAAACUCUCUCCCAUAUAUUCUCUCAUAUAUUCUCUCUCAAUUUACAUACUUAAAUAUCUAGCAUCAACUAAGAAAAUAAUGGAGCAAAAUAAGGUACGUAAAUUUAUGGCAAGCUAAAUUUUCUGUGGCAAUUAGCAUCAACUAAGGAAUUAAUGGAGCAAAAUAAGAUACGUAAAUUUAUGGCAAGCUAAAUUUUCUGUGGCAAGAUUUUAGGAAAGUAGUAAUAAUGCUAAAAUGAUAAUGAUCCUGUGAACACUGGGAGUUCAGUGUAACAUUAGUUUAAAGGUUUAUAACAGCCGGUAAUGCUAGCUAAAGUGGAUCUAGCCGUGCACUUUGUCCGCGCCAAGCAGGUGGCCGUUAUGCGGUGUUGUUGUGCUUAAAUUGGCUUGGGAUCCUUACCUGCUUGACCUACUGCUACUGAUAUUACCUUUAACCUACUGUUAUUCUGUCCCUUCCUCCAUUUUGUAAGAAUUGAAUAGUUAAUUCUCUUCCUUCUCUAUAUCAACAAUAAAUCUCAUGUUUAGAUGUGAAACUUUGAAAUUAAUU